CAAACGGUUUAAAGCCUUGGACCAGCUUGGUCAAACGAUCAGUUGAGGCCAUGCGAUACAGCGAGGAUUAAUUUAGGGUCGAUGAUAAUAAUUGACAAGCGCGGAGAGUUUGCAUGAGAGUUUUCUCAACGUUCAUGCCCCGUCAAACGCGAGCGAGAUGCAACUCUCAUCAAGUAUCAUUUGACUAAGUCCAAGGCUUAAAACACGUAUAUUAUUUUCUUUUCAUGCUCAGCG